rnacentral:misc_RNA from 1 species
GAUGAAGAACGCAGCGAAAUGCGAUAAUUAAUGUGAAUUGCAGAAUUCCGUGGAUCAUUGAGUCUUUGAACGCACAUUGCGCCUCAUGGCAUUCCGUGAGGCAUGCCCAUCUCAGCGUUAGAAAAUAUUCUCAAAUUUUAGUUUUGUGCUAAAAUUUGGAUCAUGUCAAAGAAGCUAUUACUAUUAUUGUGAUCGCUCUUUGGAAAUUGAUAGGUCUUUGAGUUGCUACUCAUAGAACGUGAUGAAUCUUUCUUCGUUCUAUUGUAAUUCACUCUGGUAGUCCUAAAACUUGUAUGCCUGUGGCAUAUCUUGUAAUUUGACCUGAGAUUGGGUAGGGAUACCCGCUGAACUUAAGCAUAUCAAUAAGCGGAGGA